rnacentral:rRNA from 1 species
CCCUUAGAUGUUCUGGGCCGCACGCGUGCUACACUGAGUGGAUCAGCGGGUCAGGUUGCGCGAAAGCGUUUCCUAAUCUUUAAAUCCGCUCGUGAUGGGGAUUGACGGUUGCAAUUUUCUGUCAUGAACGAGGAAUACCUUGUAAGCGCGGGUCAUCAUCCCGCGCUGAUUACGUCCCUGCCCUUUGUACACACCGCCCGUCGCUACUACCGAUUGAACGGUUUAGUGAGGGCCUCGGAUUGGUCUCGGCCCGCUCUUUACCGGGCGGCGCCGUUGGUCGAGAAGACGCUCGAACUUGAUCGUUUAGAGGAAGUAAAAGUCGUAACA